rnacentral:rRNA from 3 species
GGUUAAGCGACUAAGCGUACACGGUGGAUGCCCUGGCAGUCAGAGGCGAUGAAGGGCGUGCUAAUCUGCGAUAAGCGCCGGUAAGGUGAUAUGAACCGUUAUAACCGGCGAUACCCGAAUGGGGAAACCCAGUGUGAUUCGUCACACUAUCAUUAACUGAAUCCAUAGGUUAAUGAGGCGAACCGGGGGAACUGAAACAUCUAAGUACCCCGAGGAAAAGAAAUCAACCGAGAUUCCCCCAGUAGCGGCGAGCGAACGGGGAGGAGCCCAGAGCCUGAAUCAGCAUGUGUGUUAGUGGAAGCGUCUGGAAAGGCGCGCGAUACAGGGUGACAGCCCCGUACACAAAAGCGCAUAUGCUGUGAGCUCGAUGAGUAGGGCGGGACACGUGGUAUCCUGUCUGAAUAUGGGGGGACCAUCCUCCAAGGCUAAAUACUCCUGACUGACCGAUAGUGAACCAGUACCGUGAGGGAAAGGCGAAAAGAACCCCGGCGAGGGGAGUGAAAAAGAACCUGAAACCGUGUACGUA